AAAACACUGCAUAAUUUGGUUUCUUUCUGUAACCAAGAUACCAAACAACACAAUGAAAGAUCUAAAAUAGAAUUGCCAAUAAACUGUGAAAUUUAUUAAGAAUACUUUAGUUCAAGAGAAACCUAAAAACGCGAAUAAAUACAAGAAAAUUGAUAACAUCGAUGAUCGUGUAAAUGUUAACCUAAACCUAACAUAACCUAACAUUCGCAAAUGUCAUAUGGGUGAACAGGAAUGUGAGAAACGGCGAAAAAGCGGCAGAUAGGCAUCGCGGCCAAGUCGAAAAUUGUGACGUUGCUCGGCAUUUGGUACAAUUUUUUCCAUGAAGUUAAUGUUAAUCAGUGGCGGACGUGACGUGGAUGGAGGGUGCUCGACUGGAUUUCAUGUCGGCCGCUGCCAGGCUUGUACAGCCUGUAUGCCAUAAACGUGCUGCCAUAAGUACUUUGGCAAUAUACAUCCCGGCAUCGGGACUCAUCCAUUACAACAGGCUAGCGCGUGAUCGUGCAACCACUCGUGGAGCACCGGCGCGCAACGCAGAAUCAUUUUGUACCGUUCAUUUCGGAACGACAAUCCACACCACCAGCGAGACUUUCCCAUAUUUUCGCCCGAUUCUUUUUCCGAAACGGACCCGCGAAAAAUGACGUUUUAUUGCUGCUAUGAAACACACACACGAAGGCCGAAGUGCUGUUCGAGUGGGCACCGAAUUUUCGACGGUCCAUGACGAUCCUCGAGGGCCGAGCUUCGCCGUUGCCAUUGUUGCAUGUUUUCAAAGUUCAUUCGCCUGUUGAUUGACAAAUUUUUGACUUGGUGGAGCGCCAGAGAUCGGACGAUUACUGCUGCGUGAUACGCGUUGGUUAUCUUCGAAGAAGAAAUUUUUCAAGUUUGCUUAUAUAGUGGAUUACCUUAUACACGCUAUAAAUUUAUAUAUAGAAUUAUACAUAAUUGAUUAUAAUCACGGUGAGUUGGUGGUGGCGUUCCAGACAUUCUCGCGAUAUAUUGAAUUUUUUCUUAUUAUCUAUCCAUCCAUCAUUGUCUAGUACAGUAGAAGGAUAACGAUAUAUCCUCUAGAGUAGACGAUCUUUGUUCGUAACGAUUCUACAGGCAACAAGAGAUCGUUGCACAAUGAGACCCGCAUAAGAGGUAUUAGGAGUACGCGUGUACGCAUCGCUAUACACAACCAGUGGUUUUCAACAUGAUAUAAGUAAACCCAGGAUUAACUCCUUUAUCCUUUACCCAUUCCAUAAUGCCACUUCAACGAUCCACUGGGCAAAUGGAAAAAUAACGAAACAACUAACUCGGUAACUUCUGAUAAACGGAAGCAUUAUAUCUUCUAAACUGAUGAAAUCAUCAACCGAUUUCUGAACAUCGACAACAUUUAGAAAAUAUAUUCUAAACAAAGAAUGCCGCAUUAUGAAAGGACAAUCUAUACAAUCUGUAUUUGGAACAUAAUCAGAGUUACAUAUGUACUAAUUUAAUAUUACAAUUCGACUACUUAACACCACGACAUAUGAGAAGGAUAAUGACAUUUGAAUUGCAACGAUUAGCAAGUUCCCCUAGAUGGCGCGUGAAGGACGCGCGAAGGAAAGCGCGCCAUUAAAAGACGGACGGCCAUUAACAUCCGCAAAACGCUGUCAAUUGACCGUCCACAAAACAACUCUUUAACCUUUUCUUCGUGGACACCCCUCCCCGAGCUGUUCCCUUAUACCGGUGCUCCACAAUUCAAAAAUCGCGUGCGUUCUUUCACGCACGCUUUACUCACGGGGGUCCCCAAGCAAAAUGCACACGCGCGUUCCACAUCUCGUCUAACUCCGGUCUCUUCCAUUCAUUCGCGUUAUGUAUAGUGUACAGUGCCAUGUAAGUAUAAUAAAUAAGAACGCUUGAGGACCCAUUGUGCCGAUUGUUUUCGAUGGCCUCGUCGAAAACGACGAGGUCUGUCGGCAGGGUGCACGCCACGGGGCACAUACACAUACACGCAUGUGCUGACAAGUAUACCUAUAUAUAUACAAGCGUGCAUGCGUAUAUACAUGCACGAUUUUUCUUUCUGUUUCUUCCUGUCUCUUUUCCUUUCUAACGAUUUCCUUGUUCAGGUCUUUUCUACAUACUUCUACUCUUACACGGUUCAAUUUUUUUCCUUUCUUUUCUACCUUCUUCCUUGCCCAUAUCCGCGAAAGUCUCUUAAAUACUCCUUUAUUGCAGUAAGGAGAAAACAAGAACUCAGCAGGAUCCCUGAAUGCAACCACGAAAGCUGGAUACUCGGUCACAGUAAUACGACGUGUACGUGCUCACUGGCCGUGCUCGAGUACGUACUUGCAGCCUUUUCCUAGCUCGGUUUAAGACGGUAUUUCGAAGCGGACCGCGAGCUUCCAGUCCAUCAAGCAACUGAUCCUGCUGCUAUGUGAUUCCGUAUAAUGCUCCUUCCUAAGUGUUCCUUCGUCGAUCCUUUUCCAUCGAUCCCCCGAAUGCAUGUAUCGAUCAGCUAAAGAUAAAAAACGCUCGGGUGACUUCGUGGACCUAGAUAUGUAUUGUACUACAUAAAGAAUGCAAUCGGCCAGUGAAAAGCGAAGAAAAAAGGUGUAAAGCAAAAAAAGGCAUUUGUUUAAAGGCAUCGUCAGAUUUGCUUUAAAAUAAAAAGAAAAAAGAAGCUAACAGAAUGCAAUGAAACUCAACAAACGGAUGGAAAUUUAAAGCGUAUAAGAGUACUAAGGAGACAGAAAAAGCGAAGGAGGAUCAGGUACUUCUGCAACGGCUGCUGCGUCGAAUAGAAGUAAUAUUAACAUAAGGCGACGAUAAAGAACAAGCGAGCAAGGGCGAAAGAAAGACUAUAUAUAAUUUAACGACGCUAAGCAAGGGAGGACGGUGUCAUUUUUUUCUUGCGCAGCGUGGCCGUAGCACGAUAUGGGUAUGUAUGUGUAUGGAUUGAGUAACCAGAAAGUAUAUCUACAUGAAGAAACUCAGUUUCGAAAGAGAGGAAUAUAACUUGGGACAAAGAACGGAUAGAGAAUCUUCUUUCGUAUAACUUUUUAAUUAGCCAAACAAUACUCGUUAGCCGAGAUUAUUAUGAUAAUCUGUUGUGUACCACACUUCACCUCGUUACUCUGUUAUUCAUCGGGUAUAGGACGAAGAAUACAACAUGCGAAAACAGCUAGCGGCCAAUCAGUUAAGUCGAGCAUUGUUUCGAACAAACGCGCGAGAGCAGAGGGUAGCCCCUAAUCCUUGCGGCCUAUCGAAAAUCCAUGAUCGAAAUAUAUCUACUCUGUCAAACGCAUGCGUACCUAGAUCGGUACCCUUUCGUCCGACAAGGAUUUUUACGGCUUUCAAUCCUGUCAGAAUGAAGGACGUGUCGCCUCUGGAUUUGCCAUCGAAAUCUUUGUUAUGUACUUUGCCAUAAAUCAGGAUGCGCUUCAAUCGAUGCGUUAUGAUCCGAUCAAAUUGCAGAAUAUAUUAAA